rnacentral:rRNA from 1 species
UACAGAGGGUGCGAGCGUUAAUCGGAAUUACUGGGCGUAAAGCGUGCGUAGACGGUUAUUUAAGUCGGGUGUGAAAGCCCCGGGCUCAACCUGGGAAUUGCAUUCGAGACUGAAUAGCUAGGGUGCGGUAGAGGGAAGCGGAAUUUCCGGUGUAGCGGUGAAAUGCGUAGAUAUCGAGAGGAACACCUGCGGCGAAGGCGGGUUGCUGGGCUGACACUGACGCUGAUGCGCGAAAGCUAGGGGAGCGAACGGG